rnacentral:rRNA from 1 species
AGGGUUCGAUUCUGGCUCAGAGUGAACGCUGGCGGCGUGGCUAAGACAUGCAAGUCGAGCGGUCAUAUGCUUUCGGGCAUAUGAUAGCGGCAAACGGGUGAGUAACACGUAAGUAACCUGCCCUUAAGACUGGGAUAGCCCAGCGAAAGUUGGGGUAAUACCGGAUAUGGACUUUUGGUGCAUGCUGGAAGAUCCAAAGGGAUGGAAAGACGCUUAAGGAGGGGCUUGCGGCCUAUCAGCUAGGUUGGGGGUGUAACGGACCCCCAAGGCGAAGACGGGUAGCCGGUCUGAGAGGACGAACGGCCACAUUGGAACUGAGACACGGUCCAGACAUCUACGGAUGGCAGCAGUUUCGAAUUAUUCACAAUGGGCGAAAGCCUGAUGGUGCGACGUCGCGUGGAGGGAAAGAAGGUCUUUGGAUUGUAAACUCCUGUCAUUAGGGAGCAAAGUGCAAGUGCAGAGCUUGUUUUGAGUUAACCUAAAGAGGAAGCAGUGGCAAACUCCGUGCCAGCCGCGGC